rnacentral:lncRNA from 1 species
AGGAGCCCAGUCGCUCCAUGGCACCAAAAUAAUCUCUCACACACACACACACACACACACACACACACACACACACACACACACACACUCAUACCCACACACACACACUCACACACACACACACGCACACACACACUCACACACUCAUACCCACACACACACACACACACACACACACACACACACACACACACACUCAUACCCACACACACACUCACACACUCAUACCCACACACACACACUCACACACACACACACAUACCCACACACACACACACACACACACUCAUACCCACACACACACUCACACACUCAUACCCACACACACACACUCACACACACACACACAUACCCACACACACACACACACACACUCAUACCCACACACACACACACACACACACACUCAUACCCACACACACACACUCACAUACACACACACAUACCCACACACACACACACACACACACACACACAAACACACACACACACACACACACACACACACACACUCAUACCCACACACACACACUCACAUACACACACACAUACCCACACACACACACAAACACACACACACACACACACACACACACACACACACACUCAUACCCACACACACACUCACACACAUACACACACAUACCCACACACACACACACACAUACACACACACACACACACUCAUACCCACACACACACACUCACACACUCACACACACACACACACGGUCACUCAUACAACCCCCCCCCCCCCCUACACACACACCCACACACACACACAUUCACUGGGUCAGCGAAGAUACCAGCUGCCACCUCACACCCAUGUGUCCUGUGUGUGUGUCUAUGUGUGUGUGUGUACAAUAUGUAUGUAUGUACUGUAUGUAUGUAUAUAUGUAUGUUUGUAUGUGUGUAGGUAUGUAUGUAUAUAUGUAUGUGUGUAUGUGUGUAUGUGUGUUUGUAUGUGUGUAUGUAUGUAUGUAUGUAUGUAUGUGUGUGUGUGUGUGUGUGUGUGUAUGUGUGUAUUUGUGUAUGUUUGUAUGUAUGAUAAAAUCAAAUUGGACUUUUCUGUGUUUGUAGGUUUUUUUGUAGGUGCAUCUCAGGUUUUUGUGUUUGUGUGUGUGUUUGUGUAACGGUGUGUGUGUGUUUUGUCUGUGUGGGUGUGUGUGUGUGUGUUUGUGUGUGUUUUUUUUUUAACGGUGUGUGUGUGUGUGUGUGUGUGUGUGUUUGUGUGUGUGUU